rnacentral:tRNA from 1 species
GGGGCUGUAGCUCAGCUGGGAGAGCACCUGCUUUGCACGCAGGAGGUCAGGAGUUCGAUCCUCCUUGGCUCCACCA